rfam:Ciona savignyi cont_10664, whole genome shotgun sequence.
GCUGCGAUGGCCGAAUGGUUAAGGCGUUGGACUCGAAAUCCAAUGGGAUAUUCCCGACCCGGUUCGAAUCCUGUUCGCAGCG